GAUGAACGCUAGCUACAGGCUUAACACAUGCAAGUCGAGGGACCGGCGCACGGGUGAGUAACACGUAUCCAACCUGCCCUUUACUCGGGGAUAGCCUUUCGAAAGACAGAUUAAUACCCGAUAUAAAGGAUGGGGAUGCGUUCCAUUAGGUUGUUGGUGAGGUAACGGCACACCAAGCCUUCGAUGGAUAGGGUUUCUGAGAGGAAUGUCCACCACAUUGGAACUGAGACCCGGACCAAACUCCUACGGGAGGCAGCAGUGAGGAACAUUGGUCAAUGGGCGCUAGCCGGAACCAGCCAAGUAGCGUGAAGGAUGAAGGCUUAUGGGUCGUAAACUUCUUUUAUAUAAGAAUAUGUAUUAUAUGAAUAAGGAACGGCUAACUCCGUGCCAGCAGCCGCGGUAAUUC
rnacentral:rRNA from 1 species